GACGAACGCUGGCGGCGUGCUUAACACAUGCAAGUCGAACGGAAAGGCCCUGCUUGCCGGGUACUCGAGUGGCGAACGGGUGAGUAACACGUGGGUGAUCUGCCCUGCACUUCGGGAUAAGCCUGGGAAACUGGGUCUAAUACCGGAUAGGAGCCAUUUUUAGUGUGAUGGUUGGAAAGUUUUUUCGGUGUAGGAUGAGCUCGCGGCCUAUCAGCUUGUUGGUGGGGUAAUGGCCUACCAAGGCGGCGACGGGUAGCCGGCCUGUGAGGGUGGACGGCCACAUUGGGACUGAGAUACGGCCCAGACUCCUACGGGAGGCAGCAGUGGGGAAGAUUGCACAAUGGGCGCAAGCCGGAUGCAGCGACGCCGCGUGGGGGAUGACGGCCUUCGGGUUGUAAACUCCUUUCGCUAGGGACGAAGCUUUUUGUGACGGUACCUAGAUAAGAAGCACCGGCUAACUACGUG
rnacentral:rRNA from 1 species